rnacentral:rRNA from 1 species
AUUAAACGCUGGCGGCAUGCCUUACACAUGCAAGUCGAACGGCAGCACGGGGGCAACCCUGGUGGCGAGUGGCGGACGGGUGAGUAAAGCAUCGGAACGUAUCCUGGAGUGGGGGAUAACGUAGCGAAAGUUACGCUAAUACCGCAUAUUCUGUGAGCAGGAAAGCAGGGGAUCGCAAGACCUUGCGCUCUGGGAGCGGCCGAUGUCGGAUUAGCUAGUUGGUGGGUAAAGGCCUACCAAGGCGACGAUCCGUAGCGGGUCUGAGAGGAUGAUCCGCCACACUGGGACUGAGACACGGCCCAGACUCCUACGGGAGGCAGCAGUGGGGAAUUUGGACAAUGGGCGCAAGCCUGAUCCAGCCAUGCCGCGUGAGUGAAGAAGGCC